UAAGACGUAGGAGACGAGCGUUAUUCGGAUUUACUGGGCGUAAAGCGCGUGCAGGCGGUUUGGUAAGUUGGAUGUGAAAGCUCCUGGCUCAACUGGGAGAGGUCGUUCAAAACUGCCAGACUAGAGAAUAGGAGAGGGAGGUGGAAUUCCGGGUGUAGUGGUGAAAUGCGUAGAUAUCCGGAGGAACACCAGUGGCGAAGGCGACCUCCUGGCCUAUUUCUGACGCUCAGACGCGAAAGCUAGGGUAGCAAACGGG
rnacentral:rRNA from 1 species